UAAUUGUUUGUUUUAUAUUUGUUGGUAUUGCAUAUCAUUUAAGGAAAAUUUUAUUGGAAUAAAAUAUAGAAAUAAAAGGUAGAGGGAUCGUUGGUUUUAUUGUUUCAUAAUAAAAAUAACGGAUCUUUAGGGUUGAAAAGUCGACUUUUAGGAUAUCUGUGUGGUUGCGUAAAUUAGAAAUUUAUUUUUUAUAUUUUGAUUUUUACAGUAAAUAUGAGUUGAAGUGUCUUUAUUAUUAGUUUUAUAACUGUUUGUUUUUUGUUUUGUUGGUUUUGGUUUUGUUUUAAGAGUAAGUAAUAAGUUUUUAUUAUUUAGAUUAUUUUAAAAUUAGUAGUUUUUUAAGUUAAGUUUGGGUUUUUAAUAUAAUAAAAUAACUAGAGUGUCAAUCAAAUGUUUUUUAAAGACUUAGAUUUUUAUAUAAAGUUUGCUUCUGCCCAGUGAUUUUUGUUAAACGGCAGUCUUAGCGUGAGGACAUUAAGGUAGCAAAAUAAUUUGUGCUUUUAUUGGGUUCCAGUAUGAAUGAAGUUAUUGGUUGAUUAUUUUUUAGUUUUUUUAUGAAUUUUAUAUCAGUAUAAGAAAGUAUUGUUAUAGUGACACAAAGAUAAGUCUUCGGAAAUUCUUUUUUAAAAUUAACAAAUUUGUUAAUUUUAAAAAUUUUCUAGGGCAGAAUUUUAUGUAAAUGUUUUGAUCUAUGUAUAAUUAUGAGAAUUACUCCGGAGUUAACAGAAAAUCAUAUCUGAUCUAGUUCUUAUAGUAAGAUAAGUUUUACAUCGAUGUUGUAUUUGAGUUUAUUAAAAAGGGAGAAGAUUUAAAUUUUAAGACUGUUCUUCUUUUAAUUAGCUUAACGUGAUAUUAGUUUAAUUCAUUGUGAGAUAGAAUUGUUUAUCUUGGUCAUUAUUAUUUGUUAAUUUUAAUAGUACGAAAGGAAAAUUAAAAAAAGUUUUAAACUUUAUAAGGACAGAGGUCUUUU
rnacentral:rRNA from 1 species